rnacentral:rRNA from 1 species
CUCAGGACGAACGCUGGCGGCGUGCUUAACACAUGCAAGUCGAACGGUAAGGCCUUCGGGUACACGAGUGGCGAACGGGUGAGUAACACGUGGGUGAUCUGCCCUGCACUUUGGGAUAAGCCUGGGAAACUGGGUCUAAUACCGAAUAGGAUCAUGGCCUUCAUGGGUUGUGGUGGAAAGCUUUUGCGGUGUGGGAUGGGCCCGCGGCCUAUCAGCUUGUUGGUGGGGUAAUGGCCUACCAAGGCGACGACGGGUAGCCGGCCUGAGAGGGUGUCCGGCCACACUGGGACUGAGAUACGGCCCAGACUCCUACGGGAGGCAGCAGUGGGGAAUAUUGCACAAUGGGCGCAAGCCUGAUGCAGCGACGCCGCGUGAGGGAUGACGGCCUUCGGGUUGUAAACCUCUUUCAGCAGGGACGAAGCGCAAGUGACGGUACCUGUAGAAGAAGGACCGGCCAACUACGUGCCAGCAGCCGCGGUAAUACGUAGGGUCCGAGCGUUGUCCGGAAUUACUGGGCGUAAAGAGCUCGUAGGUGGUUUGUCGCGUUGUUCGUGAAAACUCACAGCUUAACUGUGGGCGUGCGGGCGAUACGGGCAGACUGGAGUACUGCAGGGGAGACUGGAAUUCCUGGUGUAGCGGUGGAAUGCGCAGAUAUCAGGAGGAACACCGGUGGCGAAGGCGGGUCUCUGGGCAGUAACUGACGCUGAGGAGCGAAAGCGUGGGGAGCGAACAGGAUUAGAUACCCUGGUAGUCCACGCCGUAAACGGUGGGUACUAGGUGUGGGUUUCCUUCCUUGGGAUCCGUGCCGUAGCUAACGCAUU